rnacentral:rRNA from 1 species
AUACGUAGGUGGCAAGCGUUGUCCGGAAUUAUUGGGCGUAAAGCGCGCGCAGGCGGUCCUUUAAGUCUGAUGUGAAAGCCAACGGCUCAACCGUGGAGGGUCAUUGGAAACUGGGGGACUUGAGUACAGAAGAGGAGAGUGGAAUUCCACGUGUAGCGGUGAAAUGCGUGGAGAUGUGGAGGAACACCAGUGGCGAAGGCGGCUCUCUGGUCUGUAACUGACGCUGAGGCGCGAAAGCGUGGGUAGCGAACAGGAUUAGAUACCCUGGUAGUCCACGCCGUAAACGAUGAGUGCUAAGUGUUAGAGGGUUUCCGCCCUUUAGUGCUGCAGCAAACGCAUUAAGCACUCCGCCUGGGGAGUACGGCCGCAAGGCUGAA